rnacentral:lncRNA from 1 species
ACUGGCCAGUUCAGAUCGAUUUUGACUGGGUUUUUUUUUUUUUUUGUGUUACUUUUACUUUCUUCAUUUUUUCUGGCAGCUUUGAUCGAUUUGGGCUGGACUAGGGAGCCAACAAGCCAAGCUAGCUAGGUUCUGCCUGUAAUGACCCAGGCUCGAACAAUAUUUUUGGCUCAACAAGGCAUGCCAAACUGAGCCCACUAGCUUCUUUACUAAAGAAGCCACGGUCAAGCUAGACAGGCUUGUCUUGAGCUCAAGUUGUGCUUCUUUAAUAUGUGUGUGUGUGUGUGAGUGGGAUCUCACUUUUAUAUGCCAGCUAAUGUACGAAGUAGUGUAUCCAACAGCCCAGAUUCAAUGACAUAUUGGAUGGCCACAAUCACAUGUAUUUGAAUUUUAUUUUAUUUUCCAAAUCCCAUUCUGAACCACAUAAUGAAGAUCUGAUGGCUCUCAUUCCACCUAUAUUACCAUUCAUUAUAGCUAGCCAGCUAUUGUAAGGUUUACUCAUAUAUAUAUAUAUAAUUGUAUACUUUGAGACCAUUUAUCUU